rnacentral:rRNA from 1 species
UUAAAUCAUUAAAUUAAAAAGAUUUGGCGGUAUUUUAAAUUAUUAGAGGAACUUGUGUAAUAAUUGAUAUUCCCCGAUAAGAUAUACUUAAAAAUUUAUGUAUUGCUGUUUUAAGAUUAUUAUUAAAUAAUUUUUUAAAUUUUUAAUUUAAUUUAAUUCAAGUCAAAAUAUAGUUUAUUUAAGAUAUGAGUUACAUUUUAAUUUUGAGAUUGGAUUUAAUAGUAA